rnacentral:tRNA from 1 species
GGGGAUGUAGUUUAGUGGUAAAAUGCAUGCUUACUAUAUAUGAGGACCUACGUUUGAUUCCCAGCAUCAUACA